rnacentral:rRNA from 1 species
UACGUAGGGUGCAAGCGUUAAUCGGAAUGACUGGGCGUAAAGGGUGUGUAGGCGGUUUGUUAAGUCGGAUGUGAAAUCCCCGGGCUCAACCUGGGAACUGCGUUGGAAACUGGCAAACUAGAGUACGUAAGAGGGGGGUAGAAUUCCACGUGUAGCAGUGAAAUGCGUAGAGAUGUGGAGGAAUACCGAUGGCGAAGGCAACCCCCUGGGACGAUACUGACGCUGAGGCACGAAAGCGCGGGGAGCAAACAGG